GUAAAGCCUUAGACCCCCCCCCCUUUUUUUUUUUUUUAGACUGCGGGAAAACUAACCAUUUGUUGAUGCACUUGGUUUUUUGCGUUCAGUUAGUUUGGCUGCUAAAUUUUGUUCAAAACGAGGCUGAAAUUCACUAACUCUUGAUACACAUAAAAAAAGUUUUUUUCUUCUUAAAAUCUUCAUGACAGCGCAGUUCUUUCGAUAAUCCUUGUCGCGGCGUUAUGUUGAACAUAGUCAGUGUGUUCCUAAACAUCAUAAAUAGUCAUCUUUCUGGAAUCAUCUUAUUGUUAACCAUCUCUUCGAAAUGUUGGAUUCAUUACAUCAAAUAAAAAUGUCCAAAAACAAAAUUUAAAC